UUAAAGUUGUUGCAGUUAAAAAGCUCGUAGUUGAACCUUGGGCCUGGCUGGCCGGUCCGCCUCACCGCGUGCACUGGUCCGGCCGGGCCUUUCCUUCUGGGGAACCGCAUGCCCUUCACUGGGCGUGCUCGGGGAACCAGGACUUUUACUUUGAAAAAAUUAGAGUGUUCAAAGCAGGCCUUUGCUCGAAUACAUUAGCAUGGAAUAAUA
rnacentral:rRNA from 1 species